UACGAAGGGGGCUAGCGUUGUUCGGAUUUACUGGGCGUAAAGCGCACGUAGGCGGAUCGUUAAGUCAGGGGUGAAAUCCUGGGGCUCAACCCCAGAACUGCCUUUGAUACUGGCGAUCUCGAGUCCGGAAGAGGUGAGUGGAACUCCUAGUGUAGAGGCGGAAUUCGUAGAUAUUAGGAAGAACACCAGUGGCGAAGGCGGCUCACUGGUCCGGUACUGACGCCGAGGUGCGAAAGCGUGGGGAGCAAACAGG
rnacentral:rRNA from 1 species